rnacentral:ncRNA from 1 species
UAAAAAGAGGUUCCUAGCCGAAACCCUCUAUAAAAAACUAGACGAGU